rnacentral:misc_RNA from 1 species
UUAAGUUCAGCGGGUAGUCCUACCUGAUUUGAGGUCAGAUUUCAAAGUCUACAAUUCUGUAGUUUUGGCAGCCACUCAAGAGGCGAGCCGGGGAAGGGCGCAAGAAAGGGGAACUUCUCGUCGGAGCGAGGAUGGUACAACGCCCAGUCGAGUUCGACCCACAGGCCCAACCGACGCAUUUGAGGGGAGCAGCCUCUCGG